AUUCUGGAGUUGCAAAUCACAAUAACUGAAAUGAAAAUUUCACUAGAAGGGCUCAAUAACCAUUUUGAACUGAGAGAAGAAAGAGUCAAUGGACUUCAAGAUAUAUUAAUUGAAAUUAUCCAGCCUAAAGAAUAGAGGGAAAAAGAAUAAAGAAAAACAAACAGAGCCUUAAAGACCUGUGGGACAACAUCAGUUGUACCAUGAUGAAUAUAAUGGAAAUCCCAGAAGGAAAGGAGACAGAGAAAGGAGCAGAAGGAAUAUUAAGAAAUAAUUGUUAAUACAUUUCCAAAUUUGCUGAAAACCAUUAAUCUGCACAUUCAAGAAGCUCAAUAAAUCUGAAGUAGGAUAAACUCAAGGAGAUCAAGACCUAGAUAAAUCAUUGUCAAACUGUUGAAAGACAAAGAGAAUCUUGACAUCACAAGAGAAAAGUGACUCAAUGUGCACAAGGGAUCGUUAGUAACAACAACAUUCUGACUUCUAAUCAGAAUCCAUGAAACCAGAAGGCAGUGGGAUAACAUACUCAAAGUGUGGAAAGGAAAAGAUUGUCAACCAGGAGUUCCGUAUCCAGCAAAACUAUCCUUCAAAAAUGAACAAGAAAUUUAGACAUUGCAAAAUAAAUAAAAUACAAAAAACACUGAAGGUAGGCCUUCAAGCUGAAAUGAAAGAGGCUAGACGGUAAUUCAAAUCCACAUGAAGCAAUAAAAUCACCAGUGAAGGAAAACAUAUAGACAAAUAUAAAAGACAACAGACGUACUGCUAUUGCACGCUUAACAGACUACAGUAUACUGUAAACAUAACUUACGUAUGCAAUGAAAAACCAAAACAUCCCUGGGACCUGCUUUAUUGAGGCAUUCGUUGUAUUGCAGUGGUCUGGAACCAAACCUGCAAUAUCUCCAAGUCCGUACAACCACCAACCCGUUUUUCCGUUCAUUCAACCAUCUUAAAGAAGUGCAGAGAGAGAUGCUUGAAAGAAUGCUCACCACGAUGGGAGGCAACUGGGAGACUUGGUUGGUGCUUUCUGCUUUUCUCUAUUGCCUGAAGUUCAUACGCAUAUGUCAGCAUUUUAAAAAAAAAACCUAAUAAA
rnacentral:lncRNA from 1 species